rnacentral:rRNA from 1 species
UACGUAGGCAGCAAGCGUUGUUCGGAGUUACUGGGCGUAAAGGGUGCGUAGGCGGGCAGGUAAGUCAGAGGUGAAAUCUCCGGCUUAACCCGGAAACUGCCUUUGAUACUAUCUGUCUUGAAUAUGGUGGAGGUAAGCGGAAUAUGUCAUGUAGCGGUGAAAAUGCUUAGAGAUGACAUAGAACACCCAUUGCGAAGGCAGCUUACUACGCCUAUAUUGACGCUGAGGCACGAAAGCGUGGGGGAUCAAAACAGG